GGCCCCCCCUGAGCAGUUUUCAUUCCCGGCCCGCCUCGGCUGGAGGACUACACGGGUGUGUAGUUUUGUCUUUUUCGGGGGGCGUCCUGCGAGCGGCCCGUCUUUGAGGACAAAGCCGGACCAUCGGGAAGCUGCUCGGCUUCAUCGGGGGGCUCCGUCCCGACGCCAGCGGGCGGCCUUUCGCGCCGCAAAGCCAAGAAGACGAAGAGGAUGUCGACACAGGCGCCGACUUUCACGCAGCCGCUUCAGAGCGUGGUGGCACUGGAGGGUAGUGCCGCCUCGUUCCAGGCGCAAGUGAGCGGCGCUCCGGUUCCCGAGGUGUCGUGGUUUCGGGACGGCCAGGUUCUCUCUGCCGCCGCGUUGCCAGGCGUUCAGAUCUUGUUCAGCGACGGCC